GGGUUGUGAGGUUAAGCGACUAAGCGUACACGGUGGAUGCCCUGGCAGUCAGAGGCGAUGAAGGACGUGCUAAUCUGCGAUAAGCGUCGGUAAGGUGAUAUGAACCGUUAUAACCGGCGAUUUCCGAAUGGGGAAACCCAGUGUGUUUCGACACACUAUCAUUAACUGAAUCCAUAGGUUAAUGAGGCGAACCGGGGGAACUGAAACAUCUAAGUACCCCGAGGAAAAGAAAUCAACCGAGAUUCCCCCAGUAGCGGCGAGCGAACGGGGAGCAGCCCAGAGCCUGAAUCAGUGUGUGUGUUAGUGGAAGCGUCUGGAAAGGCGCGCGAUACAGGGUGACAGCCCCGUACACAAAAAUGCACAUACUGUGAGCUCGAUGAGUAGGGCGGGACACGUGGUAUCCUGUCUGAAUAUGGGGGGACCAUCCUCCAAGGCUAAAUACUCCUGACUGACCGAUAGUGAACCAGUACCGUGAGGGAAAGGCGAAAAGAACCCCGGCGAGGGGAGUGAAAAAGAACCUGAAACCGUGUACGUACAAGCAGUGGGAGCACGCUUCGGCGUGUGACUGCGUACCUUUUGUAUAAUGGGUCAGCGACUUAUAUUCUGUAGCAAGGUUAACCGAAUAGGGGAGCCGAAGGGAAACCGAGUCUUAACUGGGCGUUAAGUUGCAGGGUAUAGACCCGAAACCCGGUGAUCUAGCCAUGGGCAGGUUGAAG
rnacentral:rRNA from 1 species